rnacentral:rRNA from 1 species
GAUGAACGCUAGCGGCAGGCCUAAUACAUGCAAGUCGAACGGUGUAGCAAUACACAGUGGCGCACGGGUGCGUAACACGUAUGCAACCUACCUUACAUUGGGGGAUAGCCUUUCGAAAGGGAGAUUAAUACCGCAUAAGACAGUAACUAGGCAUCUAGUAGCUGUUAAAGAUUUAUCGAUGUAAGCUGGGCAUGCGUCCAAUUAGUUAGUUGGCGAGGUAAUGGCUCACCAAGACGAUGAUUGGUAGGGGAACUGAGAGGUCAAUCCCCCACACUGGCACUGAGAUACGGGCCAGACUCCUACGGGAGGCAGCAGUAGGGAAUAUUGGGCAAUGGGCGCAAGCCUGACCCAGCCAUGCCGCGUGCAGGAAGAAGGCGUUAUGCGUUGUAAACUGCUUUUAUACAGGAAGAAACGACCCUUGCGAGGGGCAUUGACGGUACUGUAUGAAUAAGCACCGGCUAGCUACGUGCCAGCCGCCGCGGUAAGAC